rnacentral:lncRNA from 1 species
GGUUUUUUUCAUAUGUUUGUUGGCUGCAUAAAUGUCUUUUUUUUUUUUUUUUUUUGAGAUGGAGUCUCACUCUGUCUCCCAGGCUGGAGGGCAGUGACACAAUUUCAGCUCACUCCUCCCGGGUUCUACCUCCCAGGUUCAAGCGAUCCUCCUGCCUCUGGUAACAAACUCAGUAUUUGCUUCUCUGAAAAGUAUCUUAUUUCUCCUUCAAUGAGGAAGCUUAGUUUGGCUGGAUAUGAGAUUCUUGUUUGAAGAUUUUUUUUUUAAAGAACAUUAAAUAUAGGUCCCAAAUUUCUUCUGGCUUGUAGGAUUUCUGCUGAGAGGUCUGCUAUUAGCCUGAUGGGGUUUCUCUUGUAACU